CAGCAGCCGCGGGAAUACGUAGGGUGCGAGCGUUAAUCGGAAUUACUGGGCGUAAAGCGUGCGCAGGCGGUUCGUUAAGACAGAUGUGAAAUCCCCGGGCUUAACCUGGGAACUGCAUUUGUGACUGGCGAGCUAGAGUAUGGCAGAGGGGGGUAGAAUUCCACGUGUAGCAGUGAAAUGCGUAGAGAUGUGGAGGAAUACCGAUGGCGAAGGCAGCCCCCUGGGCCAAUACUGACGCUCAUGCACGAAAGCGUGGGGAGCAAACAGGAUUAGAUACCCGUGUAGUCCCUGUCUCUUAUAC
rnacentral:rRNA from 1 species